GGUGCUACUACCGAAGACUGCUGUCGAUCGUCGGCUUCAUUUUUAUUAAGAUGUUUACCCCGUGCCUGUAGAGCCCCUGAAAAUCUUGGUCUGCUGGGUCUCGCUAUGUAGUCCAGGCCGACUUUGAACUCAUUAUGUAGCCUGGGGUGGCCCGGAGUGCUCAGCAGUCCUUCUGCCUUAGCCUCUUGAGUGCUGGGAUAACAAGCAUGUACCAUGAAGACCAACAUGCAGAACACUUCUUGCAAAUAAAAUUUUAUGCUACAGUGUGUGAUACCCAUGACAGCAGCUUUUUAUUAGGGCCUCCUAAGUCUCCACUGAGUUCCCCAAGCAACAGCAAGAAUUUGUCGUUUCUGUGUAAAAGUGGAAGUUCUCAUGCAGUGCUGGCAGGAUCUUUUUUUUUUAGUUAUCGGGGAUUGAACUCCGGUCCUUGUGCUUUCGAGGCAGGCGGCGGAACCACUGAGCUAAAUCUCCAGCCCAGAGAUAUUUUUUUUUUUUUUUUUUUUUGGUACAUGGGAUCGAACUCGGGACCUUGUGCUUGCAAGGUAAGUGGUGGAACCACGGGGCUAAAUCCCAGGCCCACGAUCUUUGACUCACAUAGGAAUGAAGGGGUGUCUAUUUUGGUCAGAUGUUUAUCAUUUCUUGCAAAUUCAUGUUCUUUGAUUGUAUUUUCUAUCAGCCCAUGACAGGUUGUUCUUGGACUGCCUUUUUAUUUGCAUGACAGCCGCCACAAGUGUCACAAAUAAUUAGAAUAACAAAAGUAGGAAGACUGAAAGCAGAAGUGAACUGCACAUUUCCCAUUAGUGUCUUUAGUGGGGCCUAAUGCCCUGUCUCCUUGCCCUUUU
rnacentral:lncRNA from 1 species